rnacentral:rRNA from 1 species
ACAUGCAAGUCGAACGGAAAGGCCUCUUCGGAGGUACUCGAGUGGCGAACGGGUGAGUAACACGUGGGCAAUCUGCCCUGCACUUCGGGAUAAGCCUGGGAAACUGGGUCUAAUACCGGAUAGGACCUCAAGACGCAUGUCUUCUGGUGGAAAGCUUUUGCGGUGUGGGAUGGGCCCGCGGCCUAUCAGCUUGUUGGUGGGGUGACGGCCUACCAAGGCGACGACGGGUAGCCGGCCUGAGAGGGUGUCCGGCCACACUGGGACUGAGAUACGGCCCAGACUCCUACGGGAGGCAGCAGUGGGGAAUAUUGCACAAUGGGCGCAAGCCUGAUGCAGCGACGCCGCGUGGGGGAUGACGGCCUUCGGGUUGUAAACCUCUUUCACCAUCGACGAAGGUCCGGGUUUUCUCGGAUUGACGGUAGGUGGGGAAGAAGCACCGGCCAACUACGUGCCAGCAGCCGCGGUAAUACGUAGGGUGCGAGCGUUGUCCGGAAUUACUGGGCGUAAAGA